rnacentral:rRNA from 1 species
UGCAGUCGAACGGUAGCAGGAAGUGCUUGCACUUUGCUGACGAGUGGCGGACGGGUGAGUAAUGCUUGGGAACUUGCCUUUAGGUGGGGGAUAACAGUUGGAAACGACUGCUAAUACCGCAUAAUGUCUACGGACCAAAGGGGGCUUCGGCUCCCGCCUUGAGAGAGGCCCAAGUGAGAUUAGCUAGUUGGUGGGGUAAAGGCCUACCAAGGCAACGAUCUCUAGCUGUUCUGAGAGGAAGAUCAGCCACACUGGGACUGAGACACGGCCCAGACUCCUACGGGAGGCAGCAGUGGGGAAUAUUGCACAAUAGGGGAAACCCUGAUGCAGCCAUGCCGCGUGUGUGAAGAAGGCCUUCGGGUUGUAAAGCACUUUCAGUUGUGAGGAAAGGUUGGUAGUUAAUACCUGCCAGCUGUGACGUUAACAACAGAAGAAGCACCGGCUAACUCCGUGCCAGCAGCCGCGGUAAUACGGAGGGUGCGAGCGUUAAUCGGAAUUACUGGGCGUAAAGCGCACGCAGGCGGCUUGUUAAGCUAGAGGUGAAAGCCCCGCGCUCAACGUGGGAACUGCCUUUAGAACUGGCAGGCUAGAGUCUUGGAGAGGGGAGUGGAAUUCCAGGUGUAGCGGUGAAAUGCGUAGAUAUCUGGAGGAACAUCAGUGGCGAAGGCGGCUCCCUGGCCAAAGACUGACGCUCAUGCGCGAAAGUGUGGGUAGCGAACAGGAUUAGAUACCCUGGUAGUCCACACCGUAAACGCUGUCUACUAGCUGUUUGUGUAUUUAAUACGUGAGUA